UCGUAGAGGAGUCAAGAGGGUUUCCCAUUCAUUUCACUUUUUCUUAAGCAGCACGUGAAGCUCUUUUGUUGGUAUUUACAUGAUUGCAUCGUGACAUUUAAAAGAUAAGUUGCUCAUUUUAUCUUUACGUAACUUCAAUGUUCUCUUAAGAGAGAAGCAUUGUGAGGAGAAGGAGUCAAAGAUAUUGUUCGUUAUUUAUUUUCCAAUAUUUGGUUCUUGAUAGUUGAUUUCAUUAGUUACUUUUAUUUACUUGUGUAUAUGAUUUCUUACCUAUAUGAUUUGACUCCAUUAUACUUUUUUUUUACUUCUGAAUUGGGAUUGAUUUCGUCUCCUUUAUAUUUGUGAGUUACUCCUUGUUGCAAGCACUGUUUGAAACGAAUCAACUAUUGGAUCAAGACUAUAGAUAAGAACCUAAUUAUGUAGCUGCAGAGGUUUAUUAAGUUGGUUUUUCAUUUGUUUCUAAGUCUAUGCUUACAACUGUCUUUCUUGAUGUCAUAGUGCAUAGACAUGCUCGAAGUUGUUACAUUUUGUGGUGCUCGAAAUAGAGAUUUGAUUAGAUAUAGUUAUGAGCUUUUGCACGGGAUAAGAAGUGGAAGAUUACUGAGAUCAAGUCAUGAUUAGAAGAAGCUGAUGACUUGAUCUGGAAAAUGGAUCUUGAGGCUAGAAGUUUGCAGCCGAGUGCUAAAGUUGAAUUCAAACGAGUCUCGUCCGUGGCGAAUUGAUGGAAUCCAGAAUGGCGGAUCUGCGUGCAGUAUCUGCUGAUAAAAGAGGUAGAUUGGCAAUGUCAGUGAAGAGGCUUGACCAAUCAAGCAACAGAGUCAGGGAGAGUAGAAGACUAAUGCUGGAGACAAGCUGAGGUUGGCAUCUCAGUUUCCCAAGAUCUGAGUCAGCAACGCCAAACACUUCUUCAUGUGCAGACCAAGGUUGUGAAAAUCGAUGGGCGUGUGGUUUCUGACGGAAAAGUUGGCCGGGUAACAAGAACACUGCAAAACGCUUACAAGAAAGACAGAGGAUUCUGGUGUGCCAUUCUAGUUUCUCCAAUGUAUAUUUGAGAAGGUGCAGCCCCAUCCCGUGGUGAUUAAUCUGUUAACUAGAGUCGAAGAAAUCAGACCGAAAUGGAAAAUAGUUCCUACAAAAGACGUGAUUGACGCUGCUUUCAAGGACCUCGUCUAGCGAGAAGAGGUAAGGGACAACAAGCUGAUAUAUCAAGACAAGCCUAGGCUUAAAACAGCACUUGAGAUAUUCAGGACAAGCAAGAACCUCGAAGAUAGUCUCCACGAGUUUCAUUACUUAUAUAUUAUUUUUGAUCCCAUGAUAUGAGUUUCCUGACAAAAUUACUUGACUAAGACAACAUGUGAUCGGAUUGUGUAGAUAACAAUACCUUUCUUUGUAUUACACGGAGAAGCAGAUAUAGUGACGGAUCCAGAGAUAAGCAAAGCCCAGUACGAGAAAGCUAGCACGUUUUGGUCUCUUUCUUUUAAUGGUCCUCAGAUACAGGGGAUAUCACGUUUUGGUCUCUCUUUUUUAAUGGUCCUCAGGCUUUGGCUCCUAAAUUGCAACAUGUGGCUUUCUUCUGUUGAUCACUCCCAAUGAAAUGCAUUUUUUCUACGAAGAGCAGCUGCAUCGAAUGGAAGGAACAUGUACUCUUUGAAGCUAUCCUAUGUCAAAUAUUCGACAUGAUUAAACCAGAGUCAAGAGUUCUUUCAAAUCAUAACAUGAAGGACAACUGCAUCUCACUACACGAUCUGCAUGCAUCUAAACUUUCUGGAAAUGUUUUAAAUAUACUCUUCAACCGUAACAAAUUCAUGGCGCCUGAAACUCAUGACCCUUUUCUCAUUCGCCAGGAGUACUUUGACUUGAGUCACUUGGUUAACGCAUUCAAAUAAGCUCCUUAAACCCUUUUUACUGAAUUAGUAUGUGUUUCUUUCACCUUUAUUAAGUCUCUGAUGUUCAUUGUUAUUUCUUUUAACAGGUUUUCUAUACGUGAUUGAUCAAUACUUGUUUAUGUAUACGAGGAAUCCGGGAACGUGUAUCUUCGUCAUGACGUGAUUAUACCCGAGGUUCCAUUGUACACAACACGGCUUGAUUGUCCUCUCCAAGCGACUUCUUUUUUUCCUGUGGUUGAAUGGUGUGCUGCUACCUUGUGUACAACUGGGACGAAUAGCCGGACAGGUGUGACAACCAACUUUUGAAAAUUUCAGCUUGAAGAAAUGUGGAUAAAGCUUCAGCUCUAAUACAAAGCACGCCCAAUAAAUAUCCUUUGAUUUAUAUCUUUUGCUUGAUGAUGGUUGUGUCUAUCCGCUCUUUAUUUGUUUUGACAGUUUCUUUGGAAAUAUAGGUUCAGCUAAGGGCUUAAACAUUCUGGAGAUGGAGGUAGACAGACUAAAUACUGACCAGAGUGUUCUCCAUUAUAAUGUAAGCUACCACCAAUAUGAUAUUUUGUUAAGAUUUUACAUGACACGAUUAGCAGUCGCCAUUUUUGUGGUAAUGUUUUUUUCUGCAAGUUCGUGUGAGGUUUAACACAGAAUCAUUUCAUAUUG